rnacentral:rRNA from 1 species
UACGUAGGGUGCGAGCGUUGUCCGGAAUUAUUGGGCGUAAAGAGCUCGUAGGCGGCUUGUCGCGUCGGAUGUGAAAGCCCGGGGCUUAACUCCGGGUCUGCAUUCGAUACGGGCAGGCUAGAGUUCGGUAGGGGAGAUCGGAAUUCCUGGUGUAGCGGUGAAAUGCGCAGAUAUCAGGAGGAACACCGGUGGCGAAGGCGGUGGUCUGGGCCGGCACUGACGCUGAGGAGCGAAAGCGUGGGUAGCAAACAGG